GUAAGUAAAAGUCGUAACAAGGUUUCCGUAGGUGAACCUGCGGAAGGAUCAUUAUCGUAUAACCGAGGUGCGAGGGCUGUCGCUGACCCGAAAGGUCGUGCACGCCCGAGUGCCCUCACACACAUCCAUCUCACCCCUAUGUGCACCACCGCGUGGGUCCCCCUUUGGCUUGUUCGGAGGGGGGCUUACGUUUUCACACAAACUUUGUAUGCAGUGUAGAAUGUAUUUUUUGUUUUUGCGAUCACGCAAUCAAUACAACUUUCAACAACGGAUCUCUUGGCUCUC
rnacentral:misc_RNA from 1 species